rnacentral:rRNA from 1 species
GAUGAACGCUGACAGAAUGCUUAACACAUGCAAGUCGAUGGGGAAGUGGUGCUUGCCCCAUGGCAACCAUGGCGGACGGGUGAGUAACGCGUAAGGGACUUACCUGCAGGACUGGGAUAACAGGGGGAAACUCCUGACAAGACCGGAUAAUGUCAUGGAGCUGCAUGGCUUUAUGAUGAAAGGAGACGCCUGCGGAGAGCCUUGCGUCCUAUUAGCUAGUUGGUGAGGUAAUGGCUCACCAAAGCGAAGAUAGGUAGCCGGCCUGAGAGGGUGGACGGCCACAAGGGGACUGAGAUACGGCCCUUACUCCUACGGGAGGCAGCAGUGGGGAAUAUUGGACAAUGGGGGCAACCCUGAUCCAGCAAUUCUGUGUGCACGAAGAAGGUUUUCGGAUUGUAAAGUGCUUUCAGCAGGGAAGAAGUAAGUGACGGUACCUGCAGAAGAAGCGACGGCUAAAUACGUG